rnacentral:rRNA from 1 species
CCUACGUGAGGCAGCAGUGGGGAAUAUUGCACAAUGGGGGAAACCCUGAUGCAGCGACGCCGCGUGAGUGAAGAAGUAAUUCGUUAUGUAAAGCUCUAUCAGCAGGGAAGAAAAUGACGGUACCUGAGUAAGAAGCCCCGGCUAACUACGUGCCAGCAGCCGCGGUAAUACGUAGGGGGCAAGCGUUAUCCGGAUUUACUGGGUGUAAAGGGAGCGUAGACGGCAGUGCAAGUCUGGAGUGAAAGGCGGGGGCGCAACCCCCGGACUGCUCUGGAAACUGUACGGCUGGAGUGCAGGAGAGGUUAGUGGAAUUCCUAGUGUAGCGGUGAAAUGCGUAGAUAUUAGGAGGAACA